UACACUCCUACGGGAGGCAGCAGUGGGGAAUUUUGGACAAUGGGCGAAAGCCUGAUCCAGCAAUGCCGCGUGAGUGAAGAAGGCCUUCGGGUUGUAAAGCUCUUUUGUCAGGGAAGAAACGGUGAAAGCUAAUAUCUUUUGCUAAUGACGGUACCUGAAGAAUAAGCACCGGCUAACUACGUGCCAGCAGCCGCGGUAAUACGUAGGGUGCAAGCGUUAAUCGGAAUUACUGGGCGUAAAGCGUGCGCAGGCGGUUUUGUAAGUCUGAUGUGAAAUCCCCGGGCUCAACCUGGGAAUUGCAUUGGAGACUGCAAGGCUAGAAUCUGGCAGAGGGGGGUAGAAUUCCACGUGUAGCAGUGAAAUGCGUAGAUAUGUGGAGGAACACCGAUGGCGAAGGCAGCCCCCUGGGUCAAGAUUGACGCUCAUGCACGAAAGCGUGGGGAGCAAACAGGAUUAGAUACCCCUGUAGUCCCAUG
rnacentral:rRNA from 1 species